rnacentral:lncRNA from 1 species
ACCUACAGAAGCAGCCCCAUUCGAUGAAGUACAGGAGGGCAAGGAGGGUCCAUCGCAGGGGCUAGGUGACCAUCUGGGGUGCCUGGUGAUCCUGCACUGGAUGCCUGGCCACAGCUGCAAGGUUACGGGGGGCAGCCUGGGAGACCCCACAGAGGAGGCUGGGGCCUUCCUUCAUCCAGGCUUCAUCACUCACGUCCAGGAGCCCCCACUCUGGUCCUCAGGAGCCUCUCCGCCACCCUCAGCAGAGUGAAGCUGAUGGUCAUGACCUCACCCCGAAGAGCUCCAGGGCCACCUCUUCUCUGAGCCCCAGCUUCUGCUCCCCAGCCUCCUCUACUGACCCGGCUCACUGUGUGCCCGCAGCAGGUUGCCUUACCUCUCUGGGUCUUUUCUUCCAUUUGUCUUCCCAGUGGCUGGCAAGGACAUCUCCCAGGGUGGAGGAAGGGUGUCCCUGCUCCCCUCCCUCCGUCCCUUUGGCCUUCCUCGCAGGACAGAGCCGGCUUCUGGUGGCUGGGUGCCCCAGGAAUAUCUGCAGGAGCCCACGCUGCAGGCCACGUGGAUGCUGCGCCCCCGGCUUCCAGGCUGUGGACCCAGGCUGGGCUUGAAUCCAAGAGGCCCGACCCCUCCUGGGUGUUUGGCUGAAUCAAUGUUUAAUUAAAUAUUUAUUCAUUUCCAGU